CCGCAACGAGCGCAACCCCUGUGAACUGUUGCCAUGGAGACGUGAGUCUCCGGCACUCUGUUCAGACUGCCCUGUUCAACGGGGAGGAAGGUGGGGACGACGUCAAGUCAGUAUGGCCCCUUACGGCCAGGGCUGCACACGUACUACAAUGCCCGACACAGAAGGCUCCGAGACCGCAAGGUGGAGGAAAUCACCAAAGUCGGGCCCAGUUCGGAUUGGAGGCUGCAACUCGCCUCCAUGAAGCCGGAAUCGCUAGUAAUGGCGCAUCAGCUACGGCGCCGUGAAUACGUUCCCGGGUCUUGUACACACCGCCCGUCACAUCAUGG
rnacentral:rRNA from 1 species